AUUGAACGCUGGCGGCAGGCCUAACACAUGCAAGUCUAGCGGAUGAAGGGAGCUUGCUCCUGGAUUCAGCGGCGGACGGGUGAGUAAUGCCUAGGAAUCUGCCUGGUAGUGGGGGAUAACGUCCGGAAACGGUCGCUAAUACCGCAUACGUCCUGAGGGAGAAAGUGGGGGAUCUUCGGACCUCACGCUAUCAGAUGAGCCUAGGUCGGAUUAGCUAGUUGGUGGGGUAAAGGCCUACCAAGGCGACGAUCCGUAACUGGUCUGAGAGGAUGAUCAGUCACACUGGAACUGAGACACGGUCCAGACUCCUACGGGAGGCAGCAGUGGGGAAUAUUGGACAAUGGGCGAAAGCCUGAUCCAGCCAUGCCGCGUGUGUGAAGAAGGUCUUCGGAUUGUAAAGCACUUUAAGUUGGGAGGAAGGGCAGUAAGUUAAUACCUUGCUGUUUUGACGUUACCAACAGAAUAAGCACCGGCUAACUUCGUG
rnacentral:rRNA from 1 species